rnacentral:misc_RNA from 1 species
GUGAAUCAUCGAAUUUUUGAACGCAAAUUGCACUCUCUGGUAUUCCGGAAAGUAUGCCUGUUUGAGGGUCAGUUAAAUAAAAAUCGGUGUUGUUGCUGCCUUUCGUGGUGAAGCGUCGGCAUUGGGUCGUUAUAACUUGGGUUAAGUGAUUUAAAAUUUUUGCAUGAUUUUCGAACGUAUUUAAAUCGCUUACGUAUGUUUGAGAUAUUGAAUGCAUAUUAGGUUAGGUCAUUCAAAUGCUUGGUGCAUAUAAUUUAUCACUAAAUGACAU